GAUGAACGCUAGCGGGAGGCCUAACACAUGCAAGCCGAGCGGUAGAGUUUCUUCGGAAACUUGAGAGCGGCGCACGGGUGCGUAACACGUGUGCAACCUACCUUUAUCUGGGGGAUAGCCUUUCGAAAGGAAGAUUAAUACCCCAUAAUAUAAUGAUUGGCAUCAAUUAUUAUUGAAAACUCCGGUGGAUAGAGAUGGGCACGCGCAAGAUUAGAUAGUUGGUGAGGUAACGGCUCACCAAGUCAAUGAUCUUUAGGGGUCCUGAGAGGGAGAUCCCCCACACUGGUACGGAGACACGGACCAGACUCCUACGGGAGGCAGCAGUGAGGAAUAUUGGACAAUGGGUGAGAGCCUGAUCCAGCCAUCCCGCGUGAAGGAUGACGGUCCUAUGGAUUGUAAACUUCUUUUGUACAGGGAUAAACCUACCCUCGUGAGGGUAGCUGAAGGUACUGGACGAAUAAGCACCGGCUAACUCCGUG
rnacentral:rRNA from 1 species